rnacentral:rRNA from 1 species
GUAGGUGGCAAGCGUUGUCCGGAAUUAUUGGGCGUAAAGCGCGCGCAGGCGGUUUUUAAGUCUGAUGUGAAAGCCCACGGCUCAACCGUGGAGGGUCAUUGGAAACUGGAGAACUUGAGUACAGAAGAGGAAAGCGGAAUUCCACGUGUAGCGGUGAAAUGCGUAGAGAUGUGGAGGAACACCAGUGGCGAAGGCGGCUUUCUGGUCUGUAACUGACGCUGAGGCGCGAAAGCGUGGGGAGCAAACAGGAUUAGAUACCCUGGUAGUCCACGCCGUAAACGAUGAGUGCUAAGUGUUAGGGGGUUUCCGCCCCCCUUAGUGCUGCAGCUAACGCAUUAAGCACUCCGCCUGGGAGUACGGCCGCAAGGCUG